rnacentral:lncRNA from 1 species
AGCAACCUGCGAGAGCGAGUGACGGAGAGAGCCGAAGAGAGAGGAGAAGCUCUCAGCGAUGGCAGCCGAAUCUCUCUCCACUGCCUCCAGAGCUUUCAGAAUAUCCUUCCUCCGACCGAGCGAUUUUGCAUCUGCCUGGCCACCGCCACCGUCGAAAUGGCAAUGAACCACCGCAUCCGAAACUUCGGCCUCUGAUUUGUCGUUAAUCGUUUCCUCGUUCUCCAUAGAAAAAGGCUUGAGCGACGAAAGAGGAAAAGGAAAAGGGUGGCGCUUUAAAACUCGGCUUGCGACGCUAACGAAACAAGAAAAGAAGAAAAGAAGGUUUUUGUGGGCUAAUGUGUGAUUUAGAAAAAUAUAUAGGUAAUUGAAAUUUUUUAUCAAAGUUGUAUAAUAAGGAAUAUAGAGAGUAUUAAAAUCAUGGAUUAUGAUUUUGUAUAUAAAUUCAAUUUUUAUAUCAAUAAUAAUAUAUUUUUUAAAAGUAAUAAUGUAAACAAUUUUCAUUCAGUUAUCCAAUAUGUGAACCACUUGUAUAAGACGAAAAAUUGAAAUUUAUUAUCCCAUUAUUCAUCUUUACUUACUUACAAUAAUAUUAAUAAAUGAAUAAUUACAUGGAUAUAAACCAUACAAUAUACAUACAAUGAAAAUAAAUUAUUUGACUCCAAAACGUAAACUAAAAAAACGAAUUAAAUAAGAAGGAUUCAUGAAUGGUAUUAUAAGAUUUUCAAAAUUUUAUGACUUAGUAAUUGAAAAGGAUUGGAUUUCAAUUUAAAAAAGAAACAAAUAAUUCAUAAAUAAUUUAAUGAAAAACCAAUCCACGGAUCCAAAUAUUUAUAGAGAGGCGAAAGAUGUAGAGAAUUUAUAGUGUUUUAUAAUAUGGUGGGUGUCGCCACAUGAAAAUCAUUUUUUUUUUUUGUAAUAACGAGUUUUGUAUUUAUAAUCUAUAACUAUUAGAGCUGAUUUUCUAUAUGACAGAUGUAAAUUUAGAUAAAUGUACUUAUUUUGUAUUUUUUUUUUAUAGAAUUUUUAGUUGAAUGUAUAAAUGUUAUUGUUUCGUUAUUGUUCCCUGCUGGAAGAACUGCUCAUUAUCGAUUAUAUUAAUCCUAAUGCAAAUUUGAUAUGAAAUAUUAUGCAAAAAAGCUUACUAUCAUAACAUAUGCUGAAACAAGAAGUGUAAUAAAUAUAGAAUAUAAAAAAGAUAAAGUUGUUGUAAGGUGGGUCCAUUAGUGACAAAUGAUAGGAAAAGAAGGAGAGUAAAAAAGUACAAAAGGCACAAUACAGCUUUAAUUGGUGAACAAAAAUUUAAGUGCAAAUAGGACUUUAAUUCGUAGACGGAGAGAGUAUAUGUUUGUGUGUAUUGAUUAUUUAUACACAUAAAACUUAAUAUAUUUAUAAAUCGUGCAUCGCACGGGUACAACACUAGUUCGGUAGUAAAGACAGAAGCAAAUGAGAACAAAAAGUAAAGAGAUUCACAAAUUACCAUUUAAUAAUUUGACUUUAAAAUGAGGGUAAUGUGCACCAACGGAGUGAAUACUUACAGGCUGCAGAGAGAGAGAGAGAGAGAGAGAGUUUAUAUAUAUAUAUUAUCCAUUGGCAAGAAAAUGAAGAAAAGACAAUAGCAAGUUAUAAGAUUAAGCCUGCUAGCUUAUCAGGCACUGCCCUUGAUUGCCUCAGCUUNNNN